CCUACGGGUGACUGCAGUGAGGAAUAUUGGUCAAUGGGCGCGACCCUGAACCAGCCAAGCCGCGUGAAUGAAGAAUGCUCUACGGGUUGUAAACUUCAUCUAUAAAGGAAUAAAGGGAGGUACCUGAGCCUUUAUGUACGUCUAACUACGUGCCAGCAGCCGCGGUAAUACGUAGGGAGCAAGCGUUAUCCGGAUUUACUGGGUGUAAUGGGGGCGUAGACGGCUGGAUAAGUCUGGAGUGAAAUGCUGCGGCUCAACCGUAAAACUGCAAUUGAAACUGUCAACCUUGAGUGCAGUUGAGGUAGGCGGAAUUCGUGGUGUAGCGGUGAAAUGCUUAGAUAUCACGAGGAACUCCAGUUGCGAAGGCGGCUUACUAAACUGCCACUGACAUUGAUGCUCGAAAGUGUGGGGAUCAAACAGGAUUAGAUACCCCAGUAGUC
rnacentral:rRNA from 1 species